rnacentral:rRNA from 1 species
AACGUAGGAGCCAAGCGUUAUCCGAAUUCACUGGGCGUAAAGCGCGUGCAGGUGGCUGGGUAAGUUGGAUGUGAAAUCUCCUGGCUCAACUGGGAGAGGCCGUUCAAUACUACCUGGCUUGAGGGCGACAGAGGGAGGUGGAAUUCCGGGUGUAGUGGUGAAAUGCGUAGAUAUCCGGAGGAACACCAGAGGCGAAGGCGACCUCCUGGGUCGUACCUGACGCUGAGAUGCGAAAGCUAGGGGAGCAAACGGG